rnacentral:rRNA from 1 species
UACAUAGGGGGCAAGCGUUAUCCGGAAUUAUUGGGUGUAAAGGGUGCGUAGACGGGCGAGCAAGUUAGUUGUGAAAUCCCUCGGCUUAACUGAGGACGUGCAACUAAAACUACUUGUCUUGAGUAUGGGAGAGGAAAGUGGAAUUCCUAGUGUAGCGGUGAAAUGCGUAGAUAUUAGGAGGAACACCAGUGGCGAAGGCGACUUUCUGGACCAAAACUGACGUUGAUGCACGAAAGUGUGGGGAGCAAAC